ensembl:lncRNA
GGAGAGGAGGGAAGUGGGUGGAAGGGGUAGCAGCUGCAGCCCUCAGCGUCCAGCUAUGGGUUAGGUUGCCAGGUUUGUGGUUACCUGCCCUGGCUCAUGCACACGCAGGACCUCAGACUUUAUGGUCCCAGUGCCCAUGUGCCCAGGACAAGGCCUCCACUUCCACAGGCAAAUCCACCCAGUUCCUGACAUUCCCGACAUGUGCAUGCAGAUGAGAUCACUGGCCUUUCAUGAGCCAGGCCCUGUCUGGCCCCAAGCUGCUCUGGCCCAUGGGAACCCUUGGCUUCAGGAUUCAGAGAGACAGAUUCUCCAGACUUCCUCGGGGCAUAAAUGCCCACCUCCAGCUCUCCUCCGCUCUGAUGAAUGGACAAAAUCUGCAGAUGCUGCCCCCAGGAGCAGUGAGCAAAGGAACCUGAGCAUAUGGACCUAAGCAGCCAGUAACACCGGGACCCCCAGCCCAUGCCCGAGGGGAGACAGAGACCCACCUGCCAGACUCCAGGCUGCUCCUGGACCUCAGAGGCCCCAGGUGGCUGAGUUCAAGGUAACAGCUCAAAGGAAGGCCAUGAGGCCGAGGGACCUAUGAGCCCACCCUGGGAAGGCCACAGGCCCAGCCCCCUGGAAAGAUGUAGAGGACACAGGACAUAAUGCUAUGCAGAAAGGCACAGGGACCAGUGGAUGGCAGCCUCAUGGGUGAGAUUCUGGGUCCCAUAGGGGACUGACCAUGAACAGUGGCCUUGAGAGAAGACUGGCUCCAGCCUCCAUGUAACAGAUGGCAGGACAGUACAGUGAUGACAGUGCCCAGGCUAGGGUGGGAGGGAGGUCAGCGUCAGUCUGGGGGUGGGUGCCAUACAGGUCCAACCUUCCCCAUAGGGUCUGGGCAGUAUGCUGGGGCUCCUGGCCACUCUCUGGGGCUCCUGUCCUCCCUACUCUGAGAUGUAGGAAGGGGCCCCUAGGGUCUGGGGACCCCACACUUGAGGACAUCACCCCAGGCUUACCUCUAUUCAUCCUUGCCCCCUCUCCCCUGCUGCACCCCAUUAGGACUUGGGCCAGCAACCUUCAUAGCAUGGGACUGGAUACAGAGGGUGGGGUACAGUGCAAGAUGCCAGAUAAGGCCUGGGAAUAUUUCUCCUGCCAACCCUAAUUGCUGGCAGUGACUCGAACUCUGACCUCUGCCCUUGACCCAGAGGGAGGUUGAGGCAGGGAGACUGGGGUCAGGGAGCAGUCAGGGCUUCAGAGAACUCUGCUCAGGCCUGAUGGUUGGAGGGGGCUUCAGUCCCAGUCUGUCCUACAGUUCUUUGAAGGGUUCUGGGAGGACCACAUAGCUGAAUCUUCUGCCCCUAGUGCUGGGACUCCCAUAUUCCAUUCUGUGCCUCAACACUGUGGUCUCGGGGUUAAACAUUGCUCCUCCCCAGUACUGCCCCCGCCAGGCCCCCAGCCUAGCCCAGUCCACUGCUGCUUCCCUCACAGGCCAAGGACCCCUUCCCAUAUCCCCCACCCCCUUGCUAGACAGCCUCUUCCUCAGGUGGGUCAUGAGUCCGAUUUGGGAGCCGAAGGGUCCCCACCCCCGUCUGCCUUGCCUCUUCCACGUCCCUCCCAGCCCAGGGCCUGGUGAGGGCAGUGGUCCAUCAAGCCAAGGGGCCACAAGUGGACACAGGGGAAACACACUGAAUGUGGGUGACCCCAGGCUCCUCCCUCACCUGAGUCCUCAAGGAAGGGCAAGCCCCUGCUCCUCCUCCCUCUCCCACCUGCUUCCUGAGCCAGGUGUGGUCUAAGUGACCUCUUUCCUGACGUUCUCACAACUCUUUCUUGGGGCACCUUCGGCCUCCCAGAGAUCAACUUCCCAGCUUCCUAUUGUGGCCCCAAUGCCUUCAUGUGACUGAGCCCUGAGCUGAGGGUACAAACCAAUGCUUCCUCAUCCCAGUGUCCCGGGAGGGUGUGACAGCAAGAUCCCCAUGUUUCUGCCUGUGAUACCAGCCACCUCUGGGGUACUUCUUGUGCUGUGAGACUCGCACGACACCAGGGGUAAAGGAUGCCUGGUAGGAUUGCUUUUCACACUGACUUCUGGGGUGAGGCCCCAACUCUGGGAGCCUCUGCAUUUAGGUUUCCUGAUGCUUGAGGCCCGGGGAAAAAGAUUGGCAAACCAGCUAUAAUGGUGCACACCUGUAAUCCCAGCACUCUGGGAGGCUGAGGCAGGAAGAUCAUAAAUUCAAGCCCAGCCUGAGCAAUUUAGCAACUUGAAGAGAGCCUGUCUCAAAAAAGAAAGGCUAGGGACAUAGUAUGAAGGCCCUGAGUUCAAUCCCGAGUAAUUUUUUUUUUUUUUGAAUGCUAGCAUGACUGUCGGAGGCCAGACAGCUUUCCAGGGAUGGGCUUCUGCCACCCCUGAGUCCUGCAGGCACUGCAGAGGUGGAGCUGAUGACACUCAGAAACCCCCCUGGAAAAAGGACAAACUCCUGGGCCCUUAACCUGUUAAUCAUUAUGCAUGAUUUGUGUUCUGAAAGUCAGGGCCUUAAAAAUGGUUUUUGCUAAAAGCAAAACAGAACAAAAAACUGUGACUGUUCAGUUGGGCCUACAGAUGCCCAGUGGUACCUAAAAGUAGCACAGAGCUUGACCUUCAUUUUGUAUUCUUAUUACCUUAAACUUUGGAUAUAGUUGUGUCACUAGACAGGGUCCAAGGAGGUCCCCAAGGCAGAGAUGGGGACCUUGACUCACAUAACCCAUGAGAUAGGUCGCACGUUUCCUGACUUCAUUGCAGAAAAAGAAAUUUUCAGGAUGGACCAGUAAGAAACAUAAAGGGAUUUAUUAGGCAGAAUUUUAAAAGUACACACUGAAGGAAAGAGUUGGAGCCCUUAAGAGAGAAUUGCAUUAUCUUCUGGAACUGGGAACAAUUAUGUUAUCUCCUGAAGACAUGGAAACCUAUGGAAAAGAUGGCCCACCCCACCCCCCAGGAAGAUAAUAGCCCAUUUUACAGGAUAUGAAAGGUAUGAGCCCAUUGUGUUUUUGUAUUAAAAUGGAUAAUUUAAGCAUUCUUUGAAUUCUGUCAAUCCGGUCCUUUAAGAUCAGGGUUUUACUCUUUCUCAGUUAAACUAAUUUUCAGACUUACACUAUCCUUAAGGAAUUUGAGUUGGAAGGAAACUCAGCUUUCUUUGGGUCUGGAAGGAAAGGAACAUAAAUUAGCCUAGGGAAUGCUGAUAUGGAUACCAUUGGGUAACUUUGUGUCUGGAGGUCACAAUCUUUAAAAGUACAAUUUUUAGAUUAUUUUCUUGACCUCUUUUCUACCUCUCUUUAUUCUAUUCUACCUCAGAUAUGCUACUAAUUUAGGAAAACUGGCAAAACAAUAUUUAUUAGCUAGCUUAUCUCAUUCCCCUUCCAGACUAGAGGACAACAGGAUACUGAUAUUAAGGGGGAACAGAUGUAACUACCGAACCUGCUAGGUAUCUGAAACGCGAGUUCGUGUUCUCUAAAAACAAAGAAUGAAUUCUAGGAACAAUGGAAGUUAAGGGUAGGAAAAAUUUAUUGAGAGAAAGAAAGCUGUCUAAGAGAGACAGAAGGGGGACCCGAAAGUGGGUUGCCCAGGGCCGUAUUUCCCAGGAGGUUUUAUGGAACAAAACCACGAGGUGAGAUGGGUUCAAAGUGGGACAAAACUAUAAGACCCAGUGGAAAAUUACAAGGUGGGCAUGAGAUGGGGCAAAACCAUGACCAACCAAUAAAAUUACAAGUACAGUCACUCAGGUAAUAUUGAUUAAAUGGGGCUCAAAUGGGAAGACAAGUCAUGAAAGAAGGAAUUUCCCCUUCAGAAUAUCGGUCACUGCUGUUUAUCUCUAGGGGAAGUAGUGCCUCUUUUCCUUUUUUAUAUUGCUAACCAGUAAAUGUGCCUUAAUUGUUCUCCAUCUUGGCUCCUUGCUCUGUUGGCUCCUUGAGAGCUGGUGCUUGAGGGUGGCCCUGUCUAACUGCCUACAAGAUAAUCUAAUUAACUUACCUAUCUACAGUAAUACCACUAACAUCCUUUUCAGGAUUCACAGGGACAUCUGACCACCACAGGGUCCCUGGAGCAACAUCUACAGUCUCCACCUGUUGGCCUAAACCUGGGUCCCAGGAAAAGCAGAGCCUCACGUGGCUGAAACAGCCACAGGGACAAUCAUUUUUUGAGUCAAUGACUUUAUGGAAACCGAUUCACCACUCAAGCUGUGAGGAUUCCUGCAGAGCUAAGAAACCAGCCCACACCCUGUAGCUAGUCUCUGUCCUUUUGUGAACAGGCCAGUCUGAUCCUUCUCUCCAGACCUACUCCCCUUUCAGUUCCUCAGACUGAAGCCCUUUUCCUAUCUUAUCUGACUGUCCUUGCUUAAGAGACUGACUUGACCUUGGUCAAAUCUGUGGUCCCCUUUCUAUUCUUUCCAAAAGUUUUUUUUUUUUUUGGUACCUGGGAUCGAACUCCGGUCCUUGCCCUUGCACAACAGGCGGUGAAACCACUGAGCUAAAUCACUGGCCCUCUCCAAAAGUUUUUGCAUGUAAAUUAAAUACUGUCACUUUAUCCCUAAUGCAAGAAGGUGCAAUAGCUGAUUGUUAGAAAAAAGUCCAGCCGAAACCAGGUCCAGGGUCCAAACAAGCCUUUAUUUAGAGAAGAGAUGCUACCAGGAUCCCUCCGAUCAAAGAGUGUUGGGAGCAAUGCUACAUAAUUCUAGGGAAAAAUCAUUUGGUUAGCCUAGUUCUCUUGCCUACAGCCCAGCUACAGAAUAACUCCAGUUUGGCCUCCGGUCACAACUGAGACUUCAGGGAUCCAGUGACGCUGUGAUUCUCCAGGACAAGAAACAUCCUGGGAGAACAAACAUCUGCUCAGUUCCUCAUUGUUCUUGGACUGAUUAACAUCUUGUUUGCCGGCGAUGUACUGAACUCUCUGCAAGCCUUCCGUUACACCUUGUUUAUCCCAAUGUGAACUAUUGAACUCUCUGCAAGUCAUCUGUUACAUUUGUUUCUCCCGAUGUACUGAAUAAAAGGUGUGGUAAGCUGGGGGCUUUUGUCUUUGCUGCCCAGAGCAGCACUGAUCAGACCCAAAGCUCAGCUUCUUCUCGGUCUCAUUUUUCUACCUUUCCUGUAAUUCGCCGUGUGCU